AGGGAAGGAAGGAAGGAAACGAGAGCAAUAAAGAUCGGCGACCGUCGAGGCAAAUGCAUCAACGUCCAGCGGAGAAACAAAUGGAGAUAAAUCCGAGUGCGCGUCCGUGCCAGAAGAGGAUGCUGUCAGAGAGGCUCUUAAAGGCACAGAUGCUGCUGCGCGUCCACGCAGGAGCCUGUGCGAGGAGGCACCGAGUGGUAAAGAUACACGCACCUUAUAAAAGGUGGCUGGUUCUGUCCGAGAGCUCUCCAGGGUCCUGAACUCACAGUGGUGCUGAAGGAAGUAACCGCCCCCCCCC